rnacentral:rRNA from 1 species
UACACUUUAAAUCCUUUAACGAGGAUCUAUUGGAGGGCAAGUCUGGUGCCAGCAGCCGCGGUAAUUCCAGCUCCAAUAGCGUAUAUUAAAGUUGUUGCGGUUAAAAAGCUCGUAGUUGGAUCUCGGUUUCACUCAGGCGGUACACCUUGCGGUGUUCACUGUCUGGGUGGACGUUUCUGUUGGUUCGCUCUUGGUGCUCUUCAUCGGGUGCCAUUUGGUGGCCAGCACGUUUACUUUGAAAAAAUUGGAGUGCUCAAAGCAGGCGUUACAGCCUGAACAUUAGUGCAUGGAAUAAUGGAAUAGGAUCUCGAUUCUAUUUCGUUGGCUUUCGGAGUCGAGGUAAUGAUUAAUAGGGACAGACGGGGGCAUUCGUACUGCGACGUUAGAGGUGAAAUUCUUGGAUCGUCGCAAGACGAACUACUGCGAAAGCAUUUGCCAAGAAUGUUUUCAUUAAUCAAGAACGAAAGUUAGAGGUUCGAAGGCGAUCAGAUACCGCCCUAGUUCUAACCAUAAACGAUGCCAACCGGCGAUCCGUCGUCGUUAAUUGAAUGACUCGACGGGCAGCCUCCGGGAAACCAGAGUGUUUGGGUUCCGGGGGAAGUAUGGUUGCAGCUGAAACUUAAAGGAAUUGACGGAAGGGCACCACCAGGAGUGGAGCCUGCGGCUUAAUUUGACCCAACACGGGAAAUCUCACCAGGCCCGGACACCGGAAGGAUUGACAGAUUGAGAGCUCUUUCUUGAUUCGGUGGGUGGUGGUGCAUGGCCGUUCUUAGUUGGUGGAGCGAUUUGUCUGGUUAAUUCCGAUAACGAACGAGACUCUGGCCUACUAACUAGAAGGUCUAUCCUUUAUGGGUAGGCCUCUGCUUCUUAGAGGGACGGGCGGCGUUUAGCCGCACGAGAAUGAGCAAUAACAGGUCUGUGAUGCCCUCAGAUGUUCUGGGCUGCACGCGCGCUACACUGAAGGAAUCAGCAUGUUCUCCCCUCCCUGAAAAGGGCGGGUAACCCGUUGAAACUCCUUCGUGAUGGGGAUUGGAGAUUGUAAUUAUUCUCCAUGAACGAGGAAUUCCCAGUAGGCGCGAGUCAUCAGCUUGCGUCGAUUACGUCCCUGCCCUUUGUACACACCGCCCGUCGCUACUACCGAUCGAGUGAUUUAGUGAGGACUUCGGACUGGUCUUCAAGUUGGCUUCGGUCGGCUCGAAGCUCCGGAAAGAUGCCCAAACUUGAUCACUUAGA